rnacentral:snRNA from 1 species
UGUGAGAGCCAUCUGGCUGCCACAGCUGUCACCCCAUUGAUCGCCAGGGUUGAUUCAGCUGAUGUGUCGGACUAGGCGUGUGUCCCCUUCCCCUCCCUCACUGCUCCAUGGGCGUCCUUCCAGAAGAGGAUGGCCUUCACUAGUAGGGGCAGACUGGUCUUUGGUGGAGGUUAUACCAGUAGCUGUGCUCCCCUGCUAGAACCUCCAAACAAGCUCUCAAGUAUGUAAGACAGGCUUCUACCUCUCCAGCCUUAAUUAAAAACAGAUU